ensembl:scaRNA
ACUGGAGGACUAACAAGGUGGAGUCUGUAAAGUGAGGCUCUGCUGAUACCAUCCUCCUAGAGGAAGGGGACGGAGAGAGCAGUCCUACUUACAGAAGAGCAGAGGACUCACUGUAUCAUCCAACAUUU